rnacentral:rRNA from 1 species
CGAUACUUGGUGUGAAUUGCAGAAUUCCGUGAAUCAUCGAAUCUUUGAACGCACAUUGCGCCCCCUGGCAUUCCGGGGGGCAUGCCUGUCCGAGCGUCAUUUCUGCCCUCAAGCACGGCUUGUGUGUUGGGUGUGGUCCCCCUGGGGACCUGCCUGAAAGGCAGUGGCGACGCCCGCCUAGGUCCUCGAGCGUAUGGGGCUUUGUCACCCGCUCGGGAAGGAUCUACGGGCGUUGGUCUUCCAUAUCUUUUUCCACGGUUGACCUCGGAUCAGGUAGGAGUUACCCGCUGAACUUAAGCAUAUCAAUAAGCGGAGGAA